CUGUCUCUGUUACAUGAGUUUUGUGGAUCUGGAUAUUGAUAUUGUUUCUGAGCUAAAUUUUUAAAUAGACAUAGUAGUAUAGCAUUAUGCUGAUACAGUGCUCCCAUAGUUUCAUUCUUUGAUGAUCAAUGUUUUAGCUUUCUUUAGAUCCAAUAUGUUGAAAAUUCACAUUGAAGUAGGCUAUAGGCGUUACUUCAUUGCAGUAUCUUUUUUUUGGGAUAUGGGAAGUUUUACUAAGCCACUUGGUUUCAAGUUUUGACAUCCAUUUGCUCAAGCCUAUUCUGUUAAUAACUUCAACCAGUUGUUCUUCCUUUAUCCAUGCUAAUUUAACCAAGAGAGCUUUACGAUGUACCAGAAUUCUGUUUUCAGCUGUCUUACUCUUAACAGGUUCCACUAAACUGUUGUGUUGCUUCAUUUACCAGAAUUAGGAAUGUUGGAAUAGUGCUGAAAUGACACCACUCAGGGUGAUAUAAGAUCUUUCUGGGCCAAGUAAAUUGUUGGAUUCUUAGAUAUUGUAGAUUUAUGUGAUUUUCACUUGAAAGGUCAAUGUUCCAUAUUGACAUACUGAUAAGAAUUUGGUAUAGUACAUUAUAGUAUAUUAUAUAUGUUUCUUUAGAACAGGAAGAUGAUCUCUCCUGACUGAAGAGGAAAGUUUUGGACUUUAAUGAUAUGAAUAGGAAAUAUUGUACACAAACUAUAGAAGGUUUAUUUAGUGAUCCUCUACUGAGAUGAGUCAUUUUCUAUUUCUUGGGGCCCUUGCAAUUUUCAGAAAAUUCGAAAAUGACAAAAGUUGUUUGUCUGUAUGGAGUAUGUGGAUAGUAGAGAAAUGUAAGAAGUGGAAACAAUUCUGUUUUAGUUGUUCUCAGUUUUGAAAUGUUUAAGAUAAGAUCUGUAAUGUUCUUAUGGUAUGAAUAACCAAAAAGUGGUAUCACUCAUUGCAAUGGUACUUAUUUAGGUGAAAGGAGAAAGCAUUUGUUCAAUCAUACAUGUGUGGUCGGUGACACCAGAUGGAUUAAUUAGCUUAUACCAACUUAGGAAGAACGUUUUAGUUUGUUAUGGUGUUGAAUUUUUGUUUAGAGAGGUAACUAAUCGGCUUACAUGGAUUUUUAGCAAAUGUGAGGAUAGAGCUGAUUAUCUUUGGUUUAUCCUUUUCUACCUGUAUCAUUUAUAGGCUUUAGAAGCAUUCUCCUUCGAAGAUAAAUAUACUGGACUCUGAUUAUAUGAAGACCAUGAUGUUAAGUGUUGCUGAAGUAAGUGUUUACUACUGUCAGGGUAAUGAUUGCCGCAGAGAUUAAGACUCUUAAGGAGUGGUUGAAGUUUGCUUCUUAGGCUUACUCAUGGUGCAGUGAUCAGAAGGAAAGCUGUUACUGUUGGGAACAGGAAUUAAGAAUAUCAGGUACCUACAGUAAGGGUGGUACUGAAGAUGCUGCUUUCAGUCCAGCUUUAGUCGAUGAUGGUGUAAUGGUUACAUUCAAGGAGCAUCAAGACAAAAAAUUCACUCAUAACAGAAAUGAUCCGCGCAUUGCACAAAAUGGGUAAACAUUAACUUUAGUUUCAAGGAAUGGAAAUUUUCUCAGUGCAUGGACUCCUCUAUUUAGUAGUCAGGAUAUAGAGUGUAGAAGCACCAGCACCAAGAAUGGUUGCCAUGUAAGUAGCACUGAAACAAAGAGAAGCUGUUUGCUUGGAGGGAGUUUGAUAAAAUGCUGUAAGUACAAUGCUUGGCGAAACAUUCUUAUGGCCUGCAAGCUGAUGUCAUUUCGAAGAUUUUCAAGAAUAAACCCCUUACACAUCAAAGAGAUAUGGAUAAUCUGGUUCGUUAGAUUUUUCUAUUAAAUUACCAAUCUUUGGACUGCAAGUUAGUUUUAACAAUCGCUUAUUUUUUCUUCAACAUUAACCUUGUGAGAAACUGAUUUAUAUGAAACGAAGGAAAAAAAAGUGGAAAUGGAUCCCUUUCUUUGUUUAGAA